rnacentral:rRNA from 1 species
GACGAACGCUGGCGGCGUGCCUAAUACAUGCAAGUAGAACGCUGAAGGAGGAGCUUGCUCUUCUGGAUGAGUUGCGAACGGGUGAGUAACGCGUAGGUAACCUGCCUGGUAGCGGGGGAUAACUAUUGGAAACGAUAGCUAAUACCGCAUAAGAGUAGAUGUUGCAUGACAUUUGCUUAAAAGGUGCAAUUGCAUCACUACCAGAUGGACCUGCGUUGUAUUAGCUAGUUGGUGGGGUAACGGCUCACCAAGGCGACGAUACAUAGCCGACCUGAGAGGGGGAUCGGCCACACUGGGACUGAGACACGGCCCAGACUCCUACGGGAGGCAGCAGUAGGGAAUCUUCGGAAAUGGACGGAAGUCUGACCGAGCAACGCCGCGUGAGUGAAGAAGGUUUUCGGAUCGUAAAGCUCUGUUGUAAGAGAAGAAAGAGUGUGAGAGUGGAAAGUUCACACUGUGACGGUAUCUUAACAGAAAGGGACGGCUAACUACGUG